rnacentral:lncRNA from 1 species
GGCCGCCCCGCCCCUGCCGUCAGCUUCCACGCGUCGCCGCGUCCUGCAGCACUAGGACGCCGGGCGGUCUUCCCCGCUCACCACGAGGAUACCGGGGGGCGCUGGCAGGCCCCCUACUCCUCACCGCCCUUUGUGAAACGCCCCCAAUUGUGUCUCAUAGGCAGAGGCCGGUCUCCGCGGGCGGACAGGGCUGUCCGGACUCUGCGAGGGCUGAAAGGCAAUCAGGGCCAUAAGAGAAGAAUGUGGAGAGCAGGCUGUGUCCUAGUGAAGAUAGAAAACCUGGAGUUGCGGGAACCAUUAUCCGUAAAAAAGGUAUACCUCCCAAAGAGAUAGAUUAGUUGCAGGUAGAAGGCUGAGUUAAGAGGACGGUGUUAUUACCAGAAUAUCAGACUUAGAAGAGAAUUAAAGCUCACUUAAUAAGACCCCCUCAUUUUAUGUAUGAGAUCUGCGGUUACAUAGGUGUGUUCAAGUGCUUGUAGUAAUAAUUGUAGCUCACAUUAGUAUACUCUUGUGUUAAAGCACUUACACAUGGAUUCUCAUUUGGUUCCCUAAACAAUCCUGAAAGGUGUAAUUAGAUAGGCUCCAUAUUUUCCACAGCAAAGCUGGUUCUUGAAUUUAGAUUUUCAGUAUCUUAGAAGCUAAAGUUCUCUGCACUGUAUCACAUUGCCUCAGUUCUUAAUGAAUAACAUAUAUUAAAGAAGAGUAGUGCUUGCUUUUGAAAUGCGAUGAGGAUUUGAGUCAGAAAGAAAAAAACCCUGCAUUUUAACAAGUGGAAAUAACUCCCUCUUAAGUGUGAAAAGUAAUAUAUGCUAGGCUAGUAAAAUAAUUUUUUAGACAAUAUAGGGAAAUAUAAAGAAAAAAGUGAAAACUGUCCCACCACAAAGAGUAACCACUGUUAAAUUCUAAUCUGGGUCUAUUUUAUAUAGAGAGAAUUUUUUCAAAAUUCUAUACGUAUUGUUUUAUAACCUGAAAUACUAUAUUCUUAAAAGAGACUAUACCUCUUUUGCCUCUACCAUAGUAAAAAAGUACCUGCAAGGGCAACAGGCAUAAAAUGGUAAUGUCCUGGACAAACUGGGAUGUAUAGUCCCCUCCCCACCUCCUCUCCCCAACCCACACACACUCUAAUAGCUGACCUGUUAGUAAAGUCUAGGUGAAUAGAUAAAAACUUAUUUGAGGUUAAGUUAAUUUAGGGAGUCAGUGAGUAGUAUAAAGCUUUGUUGUAUCAUUUUCCUGUAGAAUUUGGGAUUAUUGAUUGUUUUGUAGUUUGAUAGAAAAAAACUUUUUCACACUGUACUGGAUUAAAAGAUAAGUAACUCAGAUUUCUUUAAGUAAACAUUAAGAAGAAUAAAGUAUGGUUCUUUUGGAGCACUCUGUAUAUGGGCUCUUUUAGUGUAUUUGUGUGUGUAUGUAACUGUCUCUGAUUAUCAUUAUUAUUGGAGUGGUGGGAGG